CCUACGGGUGGCAGCAGUGAGGAAUAUUGGUCAAUGGGCGCGAGUCUGAACCAGCCAAGUAGCGUGAAGGAAGACGGCCCUACGAGUUGUAAACUGCUUUUAUAAAGGGAUAAAGUGAGGCACGUGUGCCUUUUUGUAAGUACUGUAUGAAUAAGGAUCGGCUAACUCCGUGCCAGCAGCCGCGGUAAUACGGAGGAUCCGAGCGUUAUCCGGAUUUAUUGGGUUUAAAGGGAGCGUAGAUGGGUUGUUAAGUUAGUUGUGAAAGUUUGAGGCUCAACCGUAAAAUUGCAAUUGAUACUGUCAGGCUUGAGUACAGUUGAGGUAGGCGGAAUUCGUGGUGUAGCGGUGAAAUGCUUAGAUAUCACGAAGAACUCCGAUUGCGAAGGCAGCUUACUAAGCUGCCACUGACAUUGAUGCUCGAAAGUGUGGGUAUCAAACAGGAUUAGAUACCCUAGUAGUC
rnacentral:rRNA from 1 species